rnacentral:rRNA from 1 species
AUGAACGCUGGCGGCGUGCCUAAUACAUGCAAGUCGAGCGAACAGACGAGGAGCUUGCUCCUCUGACGUUAGCGGCGGACGGGUGAGUAACACGUGGAUAACCUACCUAUAAGACUGGGAUAACUUCGGGAAACCGGAGCUAAUACCGGAGAAUAUAUUGAACCGCAUGGUUCAAUAGUGAAAGACGGUUUUGCUGUCACUUAUAGAUGGAUCCGCGCCGCAUUAGCUAGUUGGUAAGGUAACGGCUUACCAAGGCAACGAUGCGUAGCCGACCUGAGAGGGUGAUCGGCCACGCUGGAGCUGAGACACGGUCCAGACUCCUACGGGAGGCAGCAGUAGGGAAUCUUCCGCAAUGGGCGAAAGCCUGACGGAGCAACGCCGCGUGAGUGAUGAAGGUCUUCGGAUCGUAAAACUCUGUUAUUAGGGAAGAACAAAUGUGUAAGUAACUAUGCACGUCUUGACGGUACCUAAUCAGAAAGCCACGGCUAACUACGU